AAAGACAAUAAAAUGAUAGACAAUACCGCGCUCGCAGUAUCGCCCUCGCUGUUCACCUUUGGCUUGUAUUCAAAUGCCGCGUGUGCAGGCGUUGGUACCGAUCGAAAACACAACAACUAAAACACACCAAUCCGAUCUGAACCUAGGUAAAAGUAUAUAGUGAUAAUACACGUAUAGGACGUGUAUACCUAGCUUAUUUUCCACCACGAGGACCGUAAAAUAAUCAAUAGGAGUUUCAUUUACCUACCUAACAAUUUCGAUCGUUCGGGAAAUGAUUUUAUCGCAGAAAAAAAAUUAUAGAAUUUCAUCUUAAUACGUAUU